CACGUAGUUAGCCGGGGCUUCUUAGUCAGGUACCGUCAUUUUCUUCCCUGCUGAUAGAGCUUUACAUACCGAAAUACUUCUUCACUCACGCGGCGUCGCUGCAUCAGGGUUCCCCCAUUGUGCAAUAUUCCCCACUGCUGCCUCCCGUAGGAGUUUGGGCCGUGUCUCAGUCCCAAUGUGGCCGGUCACCCUCUCAGGUCGGCUACUGAUCGUCGGCUUGGUGGGCCGUUACCCCGCCAACUACCUAAUCGGACGCGGGUCCAUCCUGUACCACCGGAGUUUUCACACCGGACCAUGCGAUCCUGUGCGCUUAUGCGGUAUUAGCAGUCAUUUCUAACUGUUGUCCCCCUGUACAGGGCAGGUUACCCACGCGUUACUCACCCGUCCGCCACUCAGUCAUCCCGGAUUCCAUCCGAAAACUUCCUCCGGCACGCUUCGUUCGACUUGCAUGUGUUAGGCACGCCGCCAGCGUUCAUCCUGAGCCAGGAUCAAACUCU
rnacentral:rRNA from 1 species